rnacentral:rRNA from 1 species
CGAAACUGUGGAUGAACCUCUUUAGAGGUUCGUGGUAGGAGAGCGUUCUAAGGGCGGUGAAGUCAGACCGGAAGGACUGGUGGAGCGCUUAGAAGUGAGAAUGCCGGUAUGAGUAGCGAAAGAAGGGUGAGAAUCCCUUCCACCGAAUAUCUAAGGUUUCCUGAGGAAGGCUCGUCCGCUCAGGGUUAGUCGGGACCUAAGCCGAGGCCGAUAGGCGUAGGCGAUGGACAACAGGUAGAGAUUCCUGUACCAGUGCUAAUUGUUUAACCGAUGGGGUGACACAGAAGGAUAGGGAAUCGCACGAAUGGAAAUGUGCGUCCAAGCAGUGAGUGUGAGAAGUAGGCAAAUCCGCUUCUCGCGAAG